GAUGAACGCUGGCGGCGUGCCUAAUACAUGCAAGUCGAGCGAACAGACGAGGAGCUUGCUCCUCUGACGUUAGCGGCGGACGGGUGAGUAACACGUGGAUAACCUACCUAUAAGACUGGGAUAACUUCGGGAAACCGGAGCUAAUACCGGAUAAUAUAUUGAACCGCAUGGUUCAAUAGUGAAAGACGGUUUUGCUGUCACUUAUAGAUGGAUCCGCGCCGCAUUAGCUAGUUGGUAAGGUAACGGCUUACCAAGGCAACGAUGCGUAGCCGACCUGAGAGGGUGAUCGGCCACACGGGAACUGAGACACGGUCCAGACUCCUACGGGAGGCAGCAGUAGGGAAUCUUCCGCAAUGGUCGAAAGCCUGACGGAGCAACGCCGCGUGAGUGAUGAAGGUCUUCGGAUCGUAAAACUCUGUUAUUAGGGAAGAACAAAUGUGUAAGUAACUAUGCACGUCUUGACGGUACCUAAUCAGAAAGCCACGGCUAACUACGUG
rnacentral:rRNA from 1 species